UUUUCCCUGCACUGUUGGUGAUCUUCAGUGUGUGUUGAGCCAACUCCCAAAAAAAGGGUAACUCCACUGUUACAAGAAGGAAAAUCGCUUCGCGAAUUUCCCGAAAGUAUUAUGAGGCUGCCCACCUAUUAUAUAGGUUUAACUUUCCUGGAGACACGGCAGUGUGGGGAAGAU
rnacentral:other from 1 species